rnacentral:rRNA from 1 species
GACGAACGCUGGCGGCGUGCUUAACACAUGCAAGUCGAACGGAAACGCCCUGCUUUUGUGGGAUGCUCGAGUGGCGAACGGGUGAGUAACACGUGAGUAACCUGCCCUUGACUUUGGGAUAACUUCAGGAAACUGGGGCUAAUACCGGAUAGGAGCUCCUGCUGCAUGGCGGGGGUUGGAAAGUUUCGGCGGUUGGGGAUGGACUCGCGGCUUAUCAGCUUGUUGGUGGGGUUGUGGCUUACCAAGGCUUUGACGGGUAGCCGGCCUGAGAGGGUGACCGGCCACAUUGGGACUGAGGUACGGCCCAUACUCCUACGGGAGGCAGCAGUGGGGAAUAUGGCACAAUGGGCGGAAGCCUGAUGCAGCAACGCCGCGUGCGGGAUGACGGCCGUCGGGUUGUAAACCGCUUUCGCCUGUGACGAAGCGUGAGUGACGGUAAUGGGUAAAGAAGCACCGGCUAACUACGUG